UUGUGUCGCCAGACGCAUUGCCCGGUAGCUAAGUUCGGAAUUGAUAAGCGCUGAAAGCAUCUAAGCGCGAAGCGAGCCCUGAGAUGAGUCUUCCCUGACGGUUUAACCGUCCUAAAGGGUUGUUCGAGACUAGAACGUUGAUAGGCAGGGUGUGUAAGCGUUGUGAGGCGUUGAGCUAACCUGUACUAAUUGCCCGUGAGGCUUAAC
rnacentral:rRNA from 1 species